UUUGCCUUGGGAACUCUUGGUUUCGAUUCUUAACAACACCGAGGGAUGUAUUGAAGGAGCGGCGGCAAAGAAGGAAAAUGGUGAUGAUUGGUGUUAUCGUUCUCGCUUGCUGUUCUUUGCUGGUGAUCUAUGAUGCAGUUGCAAGGAGAACGAAAAAGGAAGAAAAAGGUGGCGAUUUACAGGUGGAAUGGUCCACACGCCUUUAUUUUCAUGUCUCAUUUUGAACAAGUUUGAUGCUAGAUGUUUCUGUAAUGUAGAUUGAAAUUAUAUUGCAGACGAAAUAGAGACAAUAGGUUAUAGUAGAAAUAACUGUGUAAUCUUUGCUUGUUUGACGUACUAUAGUUCUAUCUGGAAAAGUUUAGACUUCUCCAGCAUUAUUCUGAUACUUCGAAAAUAAGGGAAAGAAUACUUAUUGACAUGCUCGUGGUUACAAAGUCAAGAAUGUGAUUUGUUUGGUUUUCCAAAU